GACGAACGCUGGCGGCGUGCUUAACACAUGCAAGUCGAACGGAAAGGCCCUGCUUUUGUGGGGUGCUCGAGGGGCGAAGGGGUGAGUAGCACGUGAGUAAGCUGGCCUUGACUGGAGGAUAACUUCAGGCAGGUGGGGCUAAUACCGGAGAGGAGCUCCUGCUGCAGGGUGGGCGUUGGAAAGUUUCGGCGGUUGGGGAUGGACUCGCGGCUAAUCAGCUUGUUGGUGGGGUAGUGGCUUAGCAAGGCUUUGACGGGUAGCCGGCCUGGGAGGGUAAACGGCCACCUUGGGACUGAGAUACGGCCCAGACUCGAACGUGAGGCAAGGGUGGAGAAUAUUACACAGUGGGCGGGAGCCUGAUGCGGCAACGCCGCGUGCGGGAUGACGGCCUUCGGGUUGUAAACCGCUGUAGCCUGUGACGAAGCGUGAGUGACGGUACUGGGUAAAGAAGCACCGGCUAACUACGUG
rnacentral:rRNA from 1 species